AUUUUAUUGCAGUGUUGACUGUUUUGUUGUGACAAUGUGACUUUUACUGAUUUUUGUGACUAUGUAGUUUGUUGUUUGCUUUCUUUAGAAAAGAUACUGAGAUUGAAGCCAGUCAACCACGCGUAGACUGAGACCUUCCAUUUGGACCAAAUGAGGUCACCUCUGAACCCUGUAAGUCAUCCAGAGAAGUCCAUGGACUGCUGGCUUGGGCUAAUCAAAAUCUGCACCUGGAUGAGAUGAUAAGGUCAUCUCUCCUUGAGUCAUAUUUGAAAAGCUACUAUGGGAGUUGAAUACAAGAAAAUCCAUGACAAUGGAAGCAACAGAACGACCAUUAUUUACUGCAUGCUGGCUCUGAGUCAGCCACCCUACCUCUUUUGAUUGGAGCAUUAAUUCCACUGGCGUUUAAAGUGAUCAUUGAUGGGUAUGUACUUUUGCCAUUUUUUUUUAAAUUUUCUGAUAGAUUUUUUUUUUCUUAUCUGUUCUUAUUAGUCUCUUCCCUAUGGAUUGAUGAGUUAUGUUUGGGUUUCU
rnacentral:lncRNA from 1 species